GCCAAAAAUUUAGCCNCNAUCCCCCUCUCCCCUUAACCCCACCUUCANCUAAAAUAUUCUAACAAUCUAGUAAAGAAGAUUAAAAAAUUUUUAAGAGCUAUAAAUUUGUACCGCAAGGGAAAAAUGAAAUAAAAAUGAAAUAAAUCUUAAGCACAAUAAAGUAAAGAUUCUCUCUUGUACCUUUUGCAUCAUGGUUUAGCUAGUCUAACUAGGCAAAAAGAUCNUUAAGUCUAACUCCCCGAAACUAAGUGAGCUAAUUUAGGGCUGUUUAAUGAACUAACCCGUCUAUGUUGCAAAAUAGUGGGAAGACCCUAAAAUAGAAGUGAUAAGCCUAUCGAACUUAGUAAUAGCUGGUUUCUCAGGAAAAGAAUUUUAGUUCAGCCUAAAGAAAUUUUUAACCUCACUNAUGUCCCCCCCCCCCUUUUUUUUANAGUAACUCAAACNAGGUACAGCCCGUUUAACUCAGGAUACAACCUUCANUAAUGGGUAAUACUAAAUCCANCAUUUNNUAAGUAGGCCUAANAGCAGCCCCCUUUUAAAAAGNGUCAAAGCUUAACCCUGUUCAUAUUAAUUUUUAAAUUCACAUCGAUCCCUUUAAUUAUACUGAGAAUUUCUAUAAAUUUNAUAGAACUUUUUAUGCUAAAACUAGUAACAAGAGAAAGCCNUCUCCCCNNNAUGCAAGUAUAAGCCAGCAAGAACCCACCACUGGCAAUUAACAGAUUUCUNACAAAAGUAACAACUNGAACUAGAAAAUAUUACUUCCCCCCCCCCACCUGUUACCCUAACACCAGAGCAUUCCAAGAAAGAUUAAAAGAAAAAGAAGGAAUUCGGCAAAUAUUAAUCCCGCCUGUUUACCAAAAACAUCGCCUCUUGACCACNCAUAAGAGGUCCAGCCUGCCCAGUGACUCNUNUUCAACGGCCGCGGUAUUCUAACCGUGCAAAGGUAGCGUAAUCACUUGUUUUCUAAAUAAAGACCAGUAUGAAAGGCACCACGAGGACUAAACUGUCUCCUUUUUCCAAUCGGUGAACCUAAUCCCCCCNUGAAGAAGCGGGGAUAAAAAUAUAAGACGAGAAGACCCUGUGGAGCUUAAAACAUUAAAACAUCUGCCNCCCCCCCCNCCCAAAAACACCGGUUCUUCACCACAUGGNCACUCUGAUUACAUGUUUUNGGUUGGGGUGACCGCGGAGAAAAACUAAUCCUCCACAAUGUAAAGGGGUCUUCCCCNUNAGCAAUGAAUCACAAUUUUAUGCAUCAAAAAAUUGACAUNNAUCGACCCAAUAAAUUNGAUCAAUGAACCAAGUUACCCCAGGGAUAACAGCACAAUCCACUUUGAGAGCUCCUAUCGACAAGUGGGCUUAUGACCUCGAUGUUGGAUCGGGAUAUCCCAGUGGNGCAGCCGCUACUAAAGGUCNNUUUGUUCANCGAUAAAA
rnacentral:rRNA from 1 species